UCCGUAGGUGGAUCGGUCAGUCAGAGGUGAAAUCCUGCAGCUCAACUGUAGAACUGCCUUUGAUACUGCCGGUCUUGAAUUAUCGUGAAGUGGUUAGAAUAUGUAGUGUAGCGGUGAAAUGCAUAGAUAUUACAUAGAAUACCGAUUGCGAAGGCAGAUCACUAACGAUACAUUGACACUGAUGGACGAAAGCGUGGGGAGCGAACG
rnacentral:rRNA from 1 species